GGGGAGUACGGCCGCAAGGUUAAAACUCAAAUGAAUUGACGGGGGCCCGCACAAGCGGUGGAGCAUGUGGUUUAAUUCGAUGCAACGCGAAGAACCUUACCUACUCUUGACAUCCACGGAAUUUGGCAGAGAUGCCUUAGUGCCUUCGGGAACCGUGAGACAGGUGCUGCAUGGCUGUCGUCAGCUCGUGUUGUGAAAUGUUGGGUUAAGUCCCGCAACGAGCGCAACCCUUAUCCUUUGUUGCCAGCGAUUCGGUCGGGAACUCAAAGGA
rnacentral:rRNA from 1 species